UUCCAUACAAAACAAAUUUAAAUUAAAUGGGUUGGAUCAUACAAUUAAUCAAAAUAAAAUAAUUAUAAUUUUAUUAACUAAUCUUUACAAGGCCCAUAUGGUAUAUUAAAAUUGGGUCCACAGCCCACAUUAAAAAAUUGGCCCAAAACCUACAUUAAAUUAGGGCAUAUAUCAAUUGUCUUCCUCAGCUCCUCCAUCUGUUUUUCUGCAGCUGCUCGUCGUCUUCUUCUACUUCCUUUUUUUUUUUUUUUUUUUUUCGGCAACUCCUUCGCCUUCCCCAACUCCCUGUCUUCUGCCGUCUUCUCCCUUUUGCUGCCAUGUCCAAGUGCAAAACCAAGGAUUCGAUCCAUAUCCCGUGUCGGUAUCCGUGUCAUGUCGUGUCGACACGGACACUUCUCCGUUUUUGAAGAGUCCGAGCAUCAUAGCUUCCUACCACCAAAUUCAAAAAAGUAAAAGAUAUAGACAGAAUUUAACACAAGAUCACGCAUGCCAAGCUGUGAGAAAAUUGAAAUAAAGACUCCAAAAUAACAGUUAGGAAUGAAAUUAAUAACACAAAAUGAAGACAACCAAUCAAGAAAACAUACAACACAAGGUUCAGAGACAUUAGAAAAAGAAUCGAGAUACAAUGCAACAAUGUCUCUAUGAAGCUAAUUCGAACAGCUUUGAUAGAAGCUACUUGCAAAUGAUUCUAGCUCAUCAAAUGUUUAAACCUUUCUUAGCAACUUUAUUAUAUGGAUUUUGUGUCCAGGGGUCAUAUUUGUGUAAAAUCUACUAUUUCAUCCAUCGACGCAGACUUUCUGGUCACUCAAUAUUAGCAAAUUCUCCCACAAGAAUACUGUAUGUCACCACUCAUUUCAAUUCCUUCUUCCACCAUCUUUCUUACACAUGAAAAUGCUUCUUCCAUGUCUCAUCCUACUGCAUAUGCAUGAAGAAGGCUGCAGCAGUGCAAAGUGGAUUUAUCGUGAGAUGAUCACUUAAUAAUUUAAAAUGGGAAUCGGAUCAACUUCUUAUUUGCAACUAAAAGCAAUAGGAAGAUACAAUUGGUUUUCUCUCCAUUACUACACUUUAGGCCAAACCUUGCACCACAUUCCCCAUGAAGAAUUGGAAUGACUUCGAAGCAUACAUUGCAUCACUUCAUUUUUUCUUCUUUUCCACCCCCUGGUUCAAUAUGUCAUCAUCAAAGGAUUUUAAUUCCUGUUAAAAUAUCAUUAUGAAGUACAUCAUUCAAUUAUACCAGUGAUUGUAUCAUAUUUGAGACAAAUAAUUACAUUUGUAUCUAUGCCUGCGUUGCAUAUAAGGUUUUAAAAAUUUUAGUGAAUUACCUAGACCCAAUUUGAGGACACAACUUCAUGAACUCAAAACAUCAAACGAGAAUAGCAUCUGUGUUCAUCAAGGAACUAAAAACGAAUCCCAAACAUUAUUGACAAAAAGGAAAAAUUACCUGGGCAGGAUAGGUCUAGCCUCCGGUAACAUACUGAAUGACGGAAUAUAUAUUAAGAAACCUAGCUGGGUAAACGACAGGCCCUGUAUCACCUUUCAAUUUGUUAUAAUCUUUUUCUCCUCCCAAAACCCACUGACCUUUAAUAAAUUAAGUUUUAAGUAUAAAAAUUUCGUUGAAAAAUCCAAUUAAAUUGAAUGCAAAAUAUAAAAAUUAUGAACUUCUACUCUUACCUGUGACAUACAUGAAUCCCAAUCAAU
rnacentral:lncRNA from 1 species